rnacentral:rRNA from 1 species
GGACCUAUUGGAGGGCAAGUCUGGUGCCAGCAGCCGCGGUAAUUCCAGCUCCAAUAGCGUAUAUUAAAGUUGUUGCGGUUAAAACGUUCGUAGUUGAACUUGUGCUUCAUACGGGUAGUACACCUAUAUACUGGGUUUGUACAUUACCUAUUGUAUGCAAGCGUAUUACCGGUGGAGUUCUAAUAUAUUAUUAUUAACUUUGUUUUUAAUAAUAUAUACCUCCUAUUUAAACCUACUUCAGUGCUCUUUACCGAGUGUUGUUGUGGGCCGGUACAAUUACUUUGAACAAAUUAGAGUGCUUAAAGCAGGCUCAAAAUGCCUGAAUAUUUUGUGCAUGGAAUAAUGGAAUAAGACCUCUGUUCUACUUUUCAUUGGUUUAAUAGAUCUAGAGGUAAUGAUUAAUAGAAGCAGUUGGGGGCAUUAGUAUUACGACGCGAGAGGUGAAAUUCUUGGACCGUCGUAAGACUAACUUAAGCGAAAGCAUUUGCCAAAGAUGUUUUCAUUAAUCAAGAACGAAAGUUAGAGGUUCGAAGGCGAUCAGAUACCGCCCUAGUUCUAACCAUAAACGAUGCCAGCUAGCAAUUGGGUGUAGCUACUAUUAUGGCUCUCUCAGUCGCUUCCCGGGAAACCAAAGCUUUUGGGCUCCGGGGGAAGUAUGGUUGCAAAGCUGAAACUUAAAGGAAUUGACGGAAGGG